CCUACGGGUGGCUGCAGUCGAGAAUCAUUCACAAUGGGGGAAACCCUGAUGGUGCGACGCCGCGUGGGGGAAUGAAGGUCUUCGGAUUGUAAACACCUGUCAUGUGGGAGCAAAUUAAAAAGAUAGUACCCCAAGAGGAAGAGGCGGCUAACGCUGUGCCAGCAGCCGCGGUCAUACCGAGGUGGCAAGCGUUGUUCGGAAUCACAGGGCGUAAAGCGUGCGUAGGCUGUUUCGUAAGUCGUGUGUGAAAGGCGCGGGCGUAACCCGCGGACGGCACAUGAUACUGGGAGACUAGAGUAAUGGAGGGGGGAGUGGAAUUCUCGGUGUAGCGGUGAAAUGCGUAGAGAUCGAGAGGAACACUCGUGGCGAAGGCGGGUCCCUGGACAAUGACUAACGCUGAGGUACGAAGGCCAGGGGAGCGAAAGGGAUUAGAUACCCCGGUAGUC
rnacentral:rRNA from 1 species